GACAGCGGCCCAGCCAGCCCAGGUGGGAGCGUGGCAGUGCGGGUGGCCCAGGACAGCGGCUCAGCCUCUGCAUCUGAGUGGUCCCUGAGCCAUGCUAGGGCCUGAGCCGGGCUCUCGGGCUGUCCCCUGCUCUCACCCCAAUGCUUUCUCUGCCCAGCCCCUCCCCACGUCGGGCUCCCCUGCUCUCACCCCAGUGCUUUCUCUGCCCAGCCCCUCCCCACGUCGGGGUCUGGCCGUCUGCCUGGUCCCUCCUGCUCUGGGCAGCUCGGCUGCCUGUCGGCUGUGAGUCACCAGCAGGCACGGCCCACGCUCUCGCAGGAUUCCCGCCCCACCGGCUUGGCCGGCUAGGCUUAGGGGCUGGCUCGUCAGAGGGGCGGGACUGGGGGCGCCUUCAGUACUUCCUUGGUCUUCUGGUCCCUAGGGGCCAAGGUUGGGGGAUGGCCCAAGGGAGGUCAGAUGGGGUCAAGUGGAGGUGGGAAUCAGACAAGUGAGGAACAGGCUGGAAUUCAAGCAUGGUCAGGUGGGGGUCAGGUGCAGGGUGUGCCCCAAGCCAGUCGUGUCCCAGGAAGCUGGGACGUGGGCUGCCUCUCACCUGCUCUUGUGACCACACAGGCGAUGAGCUGGAGAUGAUCCGGCCCAGCGUCUACCGCAACGUGGCGCGUCAGCUGCACAUCUCCCUGCAGUCUGAGCCUGUGGUGACCGAUGCGUUCCUGGCCGUGGCUGGCCACAUCUUCUCUGCAGGUAUGCCCAGCCUGCCCGUCCCAUGGGACCUCAGGGAGGGAUCCAGGGUCUGUGGCUCAG
rnacentral:circRNA from 1 species